rnacentral:rRNA from 1 species
UACCAGCACCCCGAGUGGUCGGGACGUUUAUUGGGCCUAAAGCAUCCGUAGCCGGUUCUACAAGUCUUCCGUUAAAUCCAACUGCUUAACAGGUGGGCUGCGGAAGAUACUAUAGAGCUAGGAGGCGGGAGAGGCAAGCGGUACUCGAUGGGUAGGGGGUAAAAUCCGUUGAUCCAUUGAAGACCACCAGUGGCGAAGGCGGCUUGCCAGAACGCGCUCGACGGUGAGGGAUGAAAGCUGGGGGAGCAAACCGG